rnacentral:rRNA from 1 species
GACGAACGCUGGCGGCGUGCUUAACACAUGCAAGUCGAACGGAAAGGCCCUGCUUUUGUUGGGUUCUCGAGUGGCGAACGGGUGAGUAACACGUGAGUAACCUGCCCCUUACUUUUGUAUAACUUCAGGAAACUGUGUCUAAUACCGGAUAUGAUCUCCUGCUGCUUGGUGUGGGUUGGUAAGUUUCGGCGGUUGGGGAUGGACUCGCGGCUUAUCAGCUUGUUGGUGGGGUAGUGGCUUACCAAGGGUUUGACGGGUAGCAGGCCUGAGAGGGUGACCGGCGAAAUUGGGACUGAGAUACGGCACAGAAUGCUACGGGAGGCAGCAGUGGGGAAUAUUGCAAAAUGGGAGGAAGCAUGAUGCAGAAACGCAGCGUGCGGGAUGACGGCCUUCGGGUUGUAAAACGAAUUAGAAUGAGAAGAAGAGUGAGUGACGGUAAUGGGUAAAGAAGCAACGGCUAACUACGUG